AGGACGAACGCUGGCGGCGUGCUUAACACAUGCAAGUCGAGCGGUAAGGCUCCUUCGGGAGUACACGAGCGGCGAACGGGUGAGUAACACGUGAGCAAUCUGCCCUUCACUUUGGGAUAACUUCCGGAAACGGAAGCUAAUACCGAAUACGACCAUUACAGACAUCUGUUGAUGGUGGAAAGUUCCGGCGGUGAAGGAUGAGCUCGCGGCCUAUCAGCUUGUUGGUGAGGUAACGGCCCACCAAGGCGACGACGGGUAGCCGGCCUGAGAGGGUGACCGGCCACACUGGGACUGAGACACGGCCCAGACUCCUACGGAGGCAGCAGUGGGGAAUAUUGGACAAUGGGCGAAAGCCUGAUCCAGCAACGCCGCGUGAGGGAUGACGGCCUUCGGGUUGUAAACCGUCUUUCAGCAGGGACGAAGCGAGAGUGACGGUACCUGCAAAGAAGCACCGGCCAACUACGUGCCAGCAGCCGC
rnacentral:rRNA from 1 species